UAUGAAGGUCAGGCUGAAGACCUUACCCGAUUAGCUGAGAGGUGGUGCAUGGCCGUCGUCAGUUCGUACUGUGAAGCAUCCUGUUAAGUCAGGCAACGAGCGAGACCCACGUCCACAGCUGCCAGCAUACCCUCCGGGGUGAUGGGUACACUGUGGAGACCGCCGCUGCUAAAGCGGAGGAAGGAGUGGGCAACGGUAGGUCAGUAUGCCCCGAAUCUCCCGGGCUACACGCGGGCUACAAUGGUUGGUACAAUGGGCAUCUACCCCGAAAGGGGAAGGAAAUCUCUUAAAGCCAAUCGUAGUUCGGAUUGAGGGCUGCAACUCGCCCUCAUGAAGCUGGAAUCCGUAGUAAUCGCGUUUCAACAGAACGCGGUGAAUACGUCCCUGCUCCUU
rnacentral:rRNA from 1 species